rnacentral:rRNA from 1 species
AUUGAACGCUGGCGGCAGGCCUAACACAUGCAAGUCGAGCGAGUGGCGGACGGGUGAGUAAUGUAUGGGGACUGCCCGAUAGAGGGGGAUAACUACUGGAAACGGUGGCUAAUACCGCAUACUAUCGGAUCACCCAUAGGGGAUUAGCUAGUAGGUGGGGUAACGGCUCACCUAGGCGACGAUCUCUAGCUGGUCUGAGAGGAUGAUCAGCCACACGGGGACUGAGACACGACCCAGACGCAUACGGAGGAAGCAGUGGGGAAUAUGGCACAAUGGGCGCAAGCCUGAGGCAGCCAUGCCGCGUGUAUGAAGAAGGCCUUAGGGUUGUAAAGUACUUUCAGCGGGGAGGCGUUACCCGCAGAAGAAGAACCGGCUAACUCCGUGCCAGCAGCCGCGGUAAUAC